rnacentral:rRNA from 1 species
UACGUAGGGGCUAGCGUUAUCCGGAAUUACUGGGCGUAAAGGGUGCGUAGGUGGUUUCUUAAGUCAGAGGUGAAAGGCUACGGCUCAACCGUAGUAAGCCUUUGAAACUGGGAAACUUGAGUGCAGGAGAGGAGAGUGGAAUUCCUAGUGUAGCUGUGAAAUGCGUAGAUAUUAGGAGGAACACCAGUUGCGAAGGCGGCUCUCUGGACUGUAACUGACACUGAGGCACGAAAGCGUGGGGAGCAAACAGGAUUAGAUACCCGCGUAGUCCCUGA